AUUGAACGCUGGCGGCAGGCCUAACACAUGCAAGUCGAACGAGUGGCGGACGGGUGAGUAAUGUCUGGGAAACUGCCUGAUGGAGGGGGAUAACUACUGGAAACGGUAGCUAAUACCGCAUACCAUCAGAUGUGCCCAGAUGGGAUUAGCUUGUUGGUGGGGUAACGGCUCACCAAGGCGACGAUCCCUAGCUUGUCUGAGAGGAGGACCAACCACGCUGGAGCUGCGACACGGUGCAGACUACUACGGUAGGCAGCAGUGGUGAAUAGUGCACUAUGGGCGCAAGCCUGAUGCAGCCAUGCCGCGUGUAUGAAGAAGGCCGUCGGGUUGUAAAGUACUUUCAGCGGGGCGGCGUUACCCGCAGAAGAAACACCGGCUAACUCCGUGCCAGCAGCCGCGGUAAUUC
rnacentral:rRNA from 1 species